UGUUGUGUGUGGCUAAUGGAGAUUAUAGUCGUCAUUUGGGAACGACAUCGCGCCGUCGCUGCUCUGGCUCGCCGGAUAAAGGAGAGAAGGAUCUCAUUGUGCCUUCGUAGGAGAACAUGCUGGGGUGACCCAGUAAGCAACCAAAUAGGCCAACAAAGGCAGCCAUUGCUAAAAAUACCGAGCCUGGUCAACUGGUCGGAUAAGGGAGAGAGAGCGACGAGGAGCAAUUCCAGCCACGUCUCAACUCUCAAUCCCUAAUCUUGUGAUCGACAGGCAGAGACACCCACGGCUGGCUGACCGCAUCACCGGCAGAGAGAUGUGCUCCUGCCGCACUCGUUCUUAUUGGAAGAAUCUUCAAACAGGAGUGUACUAGGCGCAAGGUCGUUGGAGGAUGCGGGCGCCGCGCACCGUCCGUAUCUCGCUGGUGCUAGAGGGAGUCGGUGCCAACCGCCGCAGUGGGGCAUGGCAACAGGUUGGGCGCCGCCGGGACAUGAGCGUCCAUGGUCGUCGCUUCCGUCGGCCACCCGGAGCGCGAACACACAAGGGCCGAGGCAGGCGCAGCCGCCGCUUGAUGCUUAGGUGGCCGUGUCGCACGGGCCGCAGGAUGUCGCACUAGUGGAGCCAUUACGUCAUGGAAGAAAGCCGAACCAGUCACUGAUGCGUCAAAGGCUCGAUGCCUCCGUGCGCUGCAACUACAAGGGCUAAAGUUCGUCGGAGUCGAGCACCUAAGGGCCCGCCACUGUUUACGAUGCCGGAGGCCAGGCCAUCGCUCCAGUCCAGCGGGGCCGACGCCAGACGAAGCCGAUGGCGUCGUCGUUCACAUUCUCUAUUAUUCCAGAUAGAUGGACGCAAGUGCCCCUGUUCUUCAUUCAUGGAGCGAGGCUGUGGCUUGGAUGCUUUUCCGCCGGGGCAAUGGCCGCGUGUGCCGAUAACCUGUUAGAGUAAAACAAGAUUGAAUGAAAUUGAAUGGACGAUUAGUCCUGUUUCUA